UACGUAGGGUGCGAGCGUUGUCCGGAAUUAUUGGCGUAAAGAGCUCGUAGGCGGUCUGUCGCGUCGGUCGUGAAAAUUUGGGGCUUAACCCUGAGCUUGCGGUCGAUACGGGCAUGACUGGAGUUCGGCAGGGGAGACUGGAAUUCCUGGUGUAGCGGUGAAAUGCGCAGAUAUCAGGAGGAACACCGGUGGCGAAGGCGGGUCUCUGGGCCGAUACUGACGCUGAGGAGCGAAAGCGUGGGGAGCAAACAGG
rnacentral:rRNA from 1 species